GAUUAGGAAGCGAAAAUCGCAUUUAGUUUCGGCCUAAACCUUGGCACCUUUGUUAUGCCCCUAAUCA
rnacentral:tRNA from 1 species